GAUGAACGCUGGCGGCGUGCCUAAUACAUGCAAGUCGAGCGAACGGACGAGAAGCUUGCUUCUCUGAUGUUAGCGGCGGACGGGUGAGUAACACGUGGAUAACCUACCUAUAAGACUGGGAUAACUUCGGGAAACCGGAGCUAAUACCGGAUAAUAUUUUGAACCGCAUGGUUCAAAAGUGAAAGACGGUCUUGCUGUCACUUAUAGAUGGAUCCGCGCUGCAUUAGCUAGUUGGUAAGGUAACGGCUUACCAAGGCAACGAUGCAUAGCCGACCUGAGAGGGUGAUCGGCCACACUGGAACUGAGACACGGUCCAGACUCCUACGGGAGGCAGCAGUAGGGAAUCUUCCACAAUGGGCGAAAGCCUGACGGAGCAACGCCGCGUGAGUGAUGAAGGUCUUCGGAUCGUAAAACUCUGUUAUUAGGGAAGAACAUAUGUGUAAGUAACUGUGCACAUCUUGACGGUACCUAAUCAGAAAGCCACGGCUAACUACGUGCCAGCAGCCGCGGUAAUACGUAGGUGGCAAGCGUUAUCCGGAAUUAUUGGGCGUAAAGCGCGCGUAGGCGGUUUUUUAAGUCUGAUGUGAAAGCCCACGGCUCAACCGUGGAGGGUCAUUGGAAACUGGAAAACUUGAGUGCAGAAGAGGAAAGUGGAAUUCCAUGUGUAGCGGUGAAAUGCGCAGAGAUAUGGAGGAACACCAGUGGCGAAGGCGACUUUCUGGUCUGUAACUGACGCUGAUGUGCGAAAGCGUGGGGAUCAAACAGGAUUAGAUACCCUGGUAGUCCACGCCGUAAACGAUGAGUGCUAAGUGUUAGGGGGUUUCCGCCCCUUAGUGCUGCAGCUAACGCAUUAAGCACUCCGCCUGGGGAGUACGACCGCAAGGUUGAAACUCAAAGGAAUUGACGGGGACCCGCACAAGCGGUGGAGCAUGUGGUUUAAUUCGAAGCAACGCGAAGAACCUUACCAAAUCUUGACAUCCUUUGACAACUCUAGAGAUAGAGCUUUCCCCUUCGGGGGACAAAGUGACAGGUGGUGCAUGGUUGUCGUCAGCUCGUGUCGUGAGAUGUCGGGUUAAGUCCCGCAACGAGCGCAACCCUUAAGCUUAGUUGCCAUCAUUAAGUUGGGCACUCUAAGUUGACUGCCGGUGACAAACCGGAGGAAGGUGGGGAUGACGUCAAAUCAUCAUGCCCCUUAUGAUUUGGGCUACACACGUGCUACAAUGGACAAUACAAAGGGCAGCGAAACCGCGAGGUCAAGCAAAUCCCAUAAAGUUGUUCUCAGUUCGGAUUGUAGUCUGCAACUCGACUACAUGAAGCUGGAAUCGCUAGUAAUCGUAGAUCAGCAUGCUACGGUGAAUACGUUCCCGGGUCU
rnacentral:rRNA from 1 species